rnacentral:ncRNA from 1 species
CACAAAGGCCUGGUCCUGACCUUAAAAUCAGUUCUUACUUAACCUACACAUGCAAGUCUCCGACACCCCCGGUGAAGAUGCCCCUAAAUUCUAAUGAAUUUAAGAGGAGCAGGUAUCAGGCACAACCAUUUGCCCAUGACACCUAGCCACGCCACACCCACAAGGGCACUCAGCAGUGACUAAUAUUGAACACUUGAGCGAAAGCUUGAUUCAGUCAAAGUAAACUAGAGCCGGCAAAUACGGUGCCAGCCGCCGCGGUUACACCCUAUGGCUCAAAUUGAUUUAUUUCGGCGUAAAACGUGAUUAAACUAACUACAAAACUAGAGUUAAACUCAAACUAAAUAGUGAUAUAUUUCUUUUGAGGAAGCCCAAAUAACGAAAGUUACUCUACCUACUUCAAAUUGAAUUCACGAAAGCUUGGACAUAAACUGGGAUUAGAUACCCCACUAUACCCCGCCGUAAACUUUAAAUUACACCUAAAACGCCAGGGAACUACGAGCGAAGCUUAAAACCCAAAGGACUUGACGGUGCCCCAUAUCCCCCUAGAGGAGCCUGUCCUAUAAUCGAUAAUCCCCGUUUAACCUCACCACUUCUAGCCUAUUCAGCCUGUAUACUUCCGUCGUCAGCUUACCACGUGAGCGAAACUAAGUUAGCUUAAUGUCCGCACUAUUGUGCUUCUCCGUCAAUACGUCAGGUCAAGGUGCAGCAUAUGAUGUGGGAAGAGAUUGGCUACACUUUUUAAUAUAAAAGCAACGGAAAACAAUAUGCAACAUUGUCAUAAGGCGGAUUUAGAAGUAAAAAGUCAUCAUAAAAUUCUUUUUAACACGGCCCUGGGGUGUGUACACACCGCCCGUCACCCUCUUCGAAAAUAUUAUCAUCAGUACUUAACUAACUACCUUAAUUAAGAAGAGGCUAGUCGUAACAUGGUCAGCAUACCGGAAGGUGUGCUUGGAAA